CCUACGGGUGGCAGCAGUGAGGAAUAUUGGUCAAUGGACGAGAGUCUGAACCAGCCAAGUAGCGUGAAGGAUGACUGCCCUAUGGGUUGUAAACUUCUUUUAUAUGGGAAUAAAAUGUUCCACGUGUGGGAUUUUGUAUGUACCAUCUGAAUAAGGAUCGGCUAACUCCGUGCCAGCAGCCGCGGUAAUACGGAGGAUCCGAGCGUUAUCCGGAUUUAUUGGGUUUAAAGGGAGCGUAGGUGGAUUGUUAAGUCAGUUGUGAAAGUUUGCGGCUCAACCGUAAAAUUGUAGUUGAAACUGGCAGUCUUGAGUACAGUAGAGGUGGGCGGAAUUCGUGGUGUAGCGGUGAAAUGCUUAGAUAUCACGAAGAACUCCGAUUGCGAAGGCAGUUCACUGGACUGCAACUGACACUGAGGCUCGAAAGUGUGGGUAUCAAACAGGAUUAGAUACCCGUGUAGUC
rnacentral:rRNA from 1 species